rnacentral:misc_RNA from 1 species
CCAAACUCAAUUUUUCAUUAUGCCCCUAAUAAGUGGUUGAUUGUAUAAUGCUGAUCCAAUUUUCCAGCUUUUCUUUUCCAUAAAUGAUAAUUGCAUACAUAGCAAUCAUUGAGGGACAUGAAUCGUGCCUGGGAAAAUGCAUCUAUCUAGAGUCAUUGUGAACGGACAUCUUGCUUAUUAUCUUCUCCAAGUAAGUUGCGCUCUCAACUCAAUUUCAUACUGAAAUAGAAGUGGCAAUGGACUGGUUUUUAUCCGGAAUUGGAUUGGUCUAACCUAGAAUUGAAACCAAAUUGAAAUCAGUCAAAUUUAGAUUGAUCAAAAUUAAAUUUGAUGUGUUUAAAACUAAUCAAUCUGGUUUAAUUUUUUAUCCAAACUAAAAUUUUUUUCUUUUCAAAAAUUUAAAGAAAAUUUAAUUGUUGAAUUUGAUUAAAAUCAAAUCAAAUUGAAUCAUAUCAAACCAAAAUAGAAAUCAAAACAGAAUUAUCCCACUGUCCGAACUUAAUCUUCCUAAAAUUUUACGUUCAAUCCAACGGUGAUGUACUCCUUGAGUCAAUUCUAAUUUUACGACCCAAGAAAAACAAAUAAAUAAUGAGUAAAUACGAUAUUUCUAGUCACCUUGAUAAUUUGUGGACAAUAAUCUCUGCCAAAAUUCCUAAUGCAUCUUCUAACAAGCUAGCUACUUUGCCAUAAUUGGAGCCUCGAGGAUGAUAUUUACUCCUGAGAUUGCAAUCAUACCUCAUUAGACCUGCCUAAACAACUCGUAGAGCGGCACUUCAAAGGUCAUAUACAUCCAAGCCACGUCAUGAAACGACAUCCAAUGUAGCCAAUAGGAGCAAUCUUCAGCAGAUAACUUAGCCUCUGCCCAUUCACCUUGUCAUCCAUUAUCUAAUCACAUAUUCCAUGCCAAAAUUUAAGCCACACAAAAGAUAACAUCUCAGCCUCACCCUCUCUCCAUCAUUGUUUUAAACU